GCAUAUUAACAAGUUGCUGUUUCUUUAUCAGUAAUCUACACAGCCAGACACCAUGCCACUGUCUCGUCUUCCCUUUAACGUACUUAGGAUGCGUGCUGAGUUUUCUUCGUGGCGUAUCAUUUGUAAAGGUGAACACAAAG
ensembl:snoRNA